UGUGGUGGCGAUAGCGAGAAGGAUACACCUGUUCCCAUGCCGAACACAGAAGUUAAGCUUCUUAGCGCCGAUUGUAGU
rnacentral:rRNA from 1 species